UGGAGAGUUCAUUUAUGGUCUUAGGAAAGC
rnacentral:piRNA from 1 species